CCGCACCGCACCGAAUCUGUUCGGUUCGGUUUUCGGUUUUGCCACUGAAGAAACCGAACCGAACCGAAAAACCGAACCGCAAACCGAACCGCAAACCGCACCGCAAAAACCGCACCGCAACCUCAAAACGUCGUCGUUUUUGAAUAGGGUUUAACUUACCCUAAAGUCCUAAACCUAAUCCUCUCGGUCUCGCACUCUCGCCUAUUCCGCCUAACCCUCGGUCCCUCGCAGUCUCACACUCACACUCUCGCCUAUUCCGCCUAACCUCUCGCUCCGUCGCUCGGUCGCUCCUCAGUCUCGUUAGCGAUCUCUGUCUCCGGCUCGCACUCUCAGUCUCCUCAGGCUCGCACUCUAACCCAGUCAACCCACCCUCUAACUCUCUCAGAUCGGCGACCUCUCUCUCUCAGAUCGGCGACCUCUCUCUCAGAUCGGCGACCUCUCUCUCUCAGACCGACUCGGCGACUAACGACCUGUCUCUCAGACCGACUAACACCCAUCGUUCUCCUCCACAGCAACAAGCGAGCAAGCCACCUCCGGUCCUCCACCUCCGGUCCCCUCAUCCGAUUCUUUACGCCGGU
rnacentral:lncRNA from 1 species